rnacentral:rRNA from 1 species
GAUGAACGCUGGCGGCGUGCCUAAUACAUGCAAGUCGAACGGACAGACGAUGAGCUUGUGCUGUUGACGUUAGCGGCAGGCGGGUGUGUCACGCGUGGAUCACCUACUUAUCUGUCUGGGAUCAUCACGGAACACCGGCGAUAAUACCAUAUGAUAUAUUGAACCGCGUGGAUCAUUAGUGAGUGUCGGUUUUCGUGUAUCGACUAGCUGGUUCGGCGCCGCAUUAGCUAGUUGGUAAGGUAACGGCUUACCAAGGCUACGAGGCGUAGCCGAACUGAGAGGGUGAUCGGCCACACGGGAACUUAGACACGGUCCAGACUCCUACGGGAGGCAGCAGUAGGGAAUAUUCGGCAAUGGGCGAAAGCCUGACGGAGCAACACCGAGUGAGUGAUGAAGGCCUUCGGAUCGGAAAACCCUGUUAUUGGGGAAGAACAGCUGUGUAAGAAACUAUGGACGUCUUGACGGUACCGAAUCAAAAAGCAACGGCUAACUACGUG